rnacentral:tRNA from 6 species
GGUGGGGUUCCCGAGCGGCCAAAGGGAGCAGAUUGUAAAUCUGCCGUCAUCGACUUCGAAGGUUCGAAUCCUUCCCCCACCACCA